UACAGAGGGGGCAAGCGUUGUUCGGAAUUACUGGGCGUAAAGGGCGCGUAGGCGGCCUUCUAAGUCGAACGUGAAAUCCCUGGGCUCAACCCAGGAACUGCGUCCGAUACUGGAAGGCUUGAAUCCGGGAGAGGGAUGCGGAAUUCCAGGUGUAGCGGUGAAAUGCGUAGAUAUCUGGAGGAACACCGGUGGCGAAGGCGGCAUCCUGGACCGGUAUUGACGCUGAGGCGCGAAAGCCAGGGGGAGCAAACGGG
rnacentral:rRNA from 1 species